rnacentral:rRNA from 1 species
AACGCGAAGAACCUUACCUGGGUUUGACAUCCGUAGAUAGCCGUAGAGAUACGGUUUCCCCUUCGGGGGCUACGAGACAGGUGCUGCAUGGCUGUCGUCAGCUCGUAUCGUGAGAUGUCGGGUUAAGUCCCUUAACGAGCGCAACCCCUAUCCCUAGUUGCCAUCAUUUAGUUGGGCACUCUAUGGAGACUGCCGGUGUUAAACCGGAGGAAGGCGGGGAUGACGUCAAGUCCUCAUGGCCUUUAUAUCCAGGGCUACACACGUGCUACAAUGGCCGGUACAAAGGGUUGCCAACCCGCGAGGGGGAGCUAAUCUCAGAAAGCCGGUCUCAGUUCGGAUUGAAGUCUGCAAUUCGACUUCAUGAAGCUGGAAUCGCUAGUAAUCGCAGAUCAGAACGCUGCGGUGAAUACGUUCCCGGGCCUUGUACACACCGCAUAC